rnacentral:rRNA from 1 species
ACGGAGGGUGCAAGCGUUAUCCGGAUUCACUGGGUUUAAAGGGUGCGUAGGCGGGCAGGUAAGUCAGUGGUGAAAUCUCCGAGCUUAACUUGGAAACUGGCGUUGAUACUAUCUGUCUUGAAUGCUGUGGAGGUAAGCGGAAUAUGUCAUGUAGCGGUGAAAUGCUUAGAUAUGACAUAGAACACCUAUUGCGAAGGCAGCUUGCUACACAGAAAUUGACGCUGAGGCACGAAAGCGUGGGGAUCAAACAGGAUUAGAUACCCUGGUAGUCCACGCCCUAAACGAUGGAUACUCGACAUCAGCGAUACACAGUUGGUUUCUGAGCGAAAGCAUUAAGUAUCCCACCUGGGAAGUACGACCGGAAUGUUG